CACGUAGGGCGCGAGCGUUGUCCGGAAUUAUUGGGCGUAAAGAGCUCGUAGGCGGUUUGUCGCGUCUGCUGUGAAAACCCGAGGCUCAACCUCGGGCCUGCAGUGGGUACGGGCAGACUAGAGUGCGGUAGGGGAGAGUGGAAUUCCUGGUGUAGCGGUGGAAUGCGCAGAUAUCAGGAGGAACACCAAUGGCGAAGGCAGAUCUCUGGGCCGUAACUGACGCUGAGGAGCGAAAGCGUGGGGAGCAAACAGG
rnacentral:rRNA from 1 species